CCCGCCCCAGAGGCUGAACUGCUCCUAUUGGCUUGGCAUAGCAGUUGCGCGGCACUGGAAAGCAACUGGCAGCACAGGUGCUGUGUCCAAACUCUGAUCACCUUCAACUGCACGACAAGCUUACCUUGCAGAUCCCAAGUGCGCCAAAACAUCCUGAAAAUCAGCCCUGCACCCACUCCCCGGAUGCUGCCCCACAAUGAGCC